rnacentral:rRNA from 1 species
UGCUAGGCAUUAUUGAGGGAAAAGGGAGGAUGACGUCAAUACAUUCAUGCCCCCUUAUGCCUGGGCUACACCCCGUGCUACAUGGACAGAACCAAAGGGCCAGCGAAACCGCGAGGGUAAGCCAAUCCCCACAAAUCUGUUCUCAGUUCGGAUCGCAGUCUGCAACUCGACUGCGUGAAGCUGGAAUCGCUAGUAAUCGCGGAUCAGCAUGCCGCGGUGAAUACGUUCCCGGGCCUUGUACACACCGCCCGUCACACCACGAGAGUUGUAACACUCGAAGUCGGUGAGUAACCUUUAGGACCGAGCCGACGAAGGUAGCACGGGUGAUGGCGAGCCAACAAGGGCCUUAGUCGGGGCCAAG